ACCACUUCUUGGCCUUUUGGCUAAGAUCAAGUGUAGCAUAUGUUCUUAUCAGAAGCAUACUGCUUUUUACUGAAUGAAAGAAGUAUUAAGAGGACAAGAGAAGCAAAGUUCAAUCAUC
ensembl:snRNA U2 U2 spliceosomal RNA